rnacentral:pre_miRNA from 1 species
CUGCGUGUGUGUGUGUGUGUGUGUGUGUGUGUGUGUGUGUGUGUGUGCACGCGCGCGCGCGCGCGCGCGCCCCCCC